rnacentral:rRNA from 1 species
CCUACGGGAGGCAGCAGUGAGGAAUAUUGGACAAUGGACGCAAGUCUGAACCAGCCAUGCCGCGUGCAGGAAGGCGGCUCUAUGAGUUGUAAACUGCUGUUGUACGAGGGUAAACUCAAAUACGCGUAUCUGUCUGAGAGGAGCGUACUAAUAAGGAUCGGCUAACUCCGUGCCAGCAGCCGCGGUAAUACGGAGGAUUCAAGCGUUAUCCCGAUUUAUUGGGUUUAAGGGGUGCGUAGGCGGUCGGAUAAGUUGUGGGUGAAAUCCCGAGGCUCAACUUCGGAAUUGCCUGUGAUACUGUUCGGCUAGAGAGUAGUUGCGGUAGGCGGAAUGUAUGGUGUAGCGGUGAAAUGCUUAGAGAUCAUACAGAACACUGAUUGCGAAGGCAGCUUACCAAGCUACUUCUGACGCUGAGGCACGAAAGCGUGGGGAGCAAACAGGAUUAGAUACCCGAGUAGUC